rnacentral:rRNA from 1 species
GCCAGACUCCUACGGGAGGCAGCAGUGGGGAAUAUUGCACAAUGGGGGGAACCCUGAUGCAGCGACGCCGCGUGAGUGAAGAAGUAUUUCGGUAUGUAAAGCUCUAUCAGCAGGGAAGAAAAUGACGGUACCUGACUAAGAAGCCCCGGCUAACUAUGUGCCAGCAGCCGCAGUAAUACGUAGGGGGCAAGCGUUAUCCGGACUUACUGGGUGUAAAGGGAGCGUAGACGGCAGAGCAAGUCUGAAGUGAAAGCCCGCGGCCCAACUGCGGGACUGCUUUGGAAACUGCCCGGCUAGAGUGCUGGAGAGGUAAGCGGAAUUCCUAGUGUAGCGGUGAAAUGCGUAGAUAUUAGGAGGAACACCAGUGGCGAAGGCGGCCUACUGGACGGUGACUGGCGCUGAGGCUCGAAAGCGUGGGGAGCAAACAGGAUUAGAUACCCGUGUA